UGGAUAUAGAGAUUCAGAUUUGUAAUUUGAAAAGAGAUCUGGAGAUUGGUGGACGUGUACCCUUUGCAAUGGUAAAUUUUAUGUCAUGUGUAUUUUACCACAAUGAAAGAUAAGAUAAAAAAGCAAAAGAAAAAAAAAGGAAUUUACUUAGAAGACAAUGUCUUAUUCUAGGCUGUCUUAAAAUUAUUGAAUGAUAAAUUCACCAGUUAAUAAAUAGACUUCUAUUGACAAAAGAAAGAAAGAAAGGGAAAGAAAAAGAGAGGGAGAGAAGAGGGAGGGACGGAGGGAGGAAGGAAGAAAAAAAAGUCCUGAUUGGGAAUAAGACGGCCCCUGUCCAGACGGGGACAAACUUGGGCAAGGCGUCGCCAGGGCUGGGCCAUUUGGGAAAGUCCGUGGCGGAGGCACAGGGCUGGGCUGGAAGCGAGGGAGGUGCCUGCGAGGAAGGGCAGGGGCCUCUCUGUGGUCAGUGGAAUGGGAUUAGGAUCGGGAUUAGGACUCCUAGUGUGGAAACAGCAUGGACAUCCCACCGCAAAGGUGUCUCUCUGCUUUCAGGAAACGGCCGGGAGCGAAGCAGCUUUCUGACAGGCAUUACGGUCCCAGCGUGGAAAGUGUCCGGGUACCUGACACGCAGACAGGCCCUCUUCUGCUGGGCCAUCCAGAUCCUUAGUGACCCUCCAUGUGGCAAAUGGGACAGGAGAUUUCUUUCCCUGGGAAGAGUCCGUGGAUUCUCCUGGCUGGGGUUUUAGGAAAGGAAGUCGCAUGCCUGUGCCCACCAUCGCCUGACAAAACCCAAGCAUCCCAGGACCAGAGGAGAAGGGCACAUUGGAACCUCCCAGAUACACCUUUUUGCUACUGAGAGUGAUAAGGAACUAAAGGGGUCAGGAGGCUAGUCAUAGGACCCAAGUCCAAAACCACCUAUCAACAGCUACUAUGUUCCAGGAGAUCAUCUUGAGGCUGUGGCUGUAAUGAAAGCUUCAACAAAGAUCUGUCUGGUGGAGGGUCUACACCACCUGAAUUAAUGAACCUCCUCACGGGUCGACACACGGAUCCAUCCACGUCGCCAUGAACAAGACGUCUGCUUCCCGAAUAGAAAAGCCACUGUCCACACCAAUGCAAAGGCAUCCACCGCCUUGAAAGUUGAGGAGACGUUCUAAAGCCUUCAAGGAAAGGCCUCCGUCAAGGUGAAGGAGAUGAGAUGGGGUACCAGUUGAGACGAGAGUGAAUUUCCACCGCUCACCCACCUGUGCCCAGGUUUGGACGGGAGGUGGCAUCCUGCAGCGCUCUGGCCCUGGCGAGCCACGUCCUCAGAAGCAAAGAAUCCUACGAGUUGCUUAGACUUGUUUUGCGGUCUUGACUGUUUUGCGGCGUCUCCCUGACAGCCGAAGCAGCGAUUUUUCUCAGCAUCUUCUUACCUCACUCUCUUACAUCAAGCUCAGAAAGAAAAGAGUUGACCUUUUCCUAUGACAGAUGGGCAAGCUGAGAUGCAAAGAGACGCAGGACUCAUUAGAGGUGCCUCCCGUGUGCGUGGCCAUGCCAGCUUUGUUUGGACCUCUUAAAACCCACAGCCUCAUCCUGGCAGGCUUUUCCUUGACCACCUGCUCUAAAAGAUCUGGAAGCAGGUUCAGCGAGAGAAGCUCCGGAGGAAGCAGGUCGCACACCUUUCCCAAGUCUUCCGGGGAUAGAAGCCAGGCACCGAUAAUAACCGUGCAAACAAGUUGAUGCUGCUAUUUUUAAAUAAGCUGUUAUUAUUGACUAACAGAGGUUGCCGUGGGUGGGAUGACAAAGCCUGGAAGCCAGAGAGUUGCUGCGAAGACUUCCACGAGAGAGCUCGUUAAUGAGAAGCAGCUAAGUGCAGAGCUAAAUGCUGGCUGCCAUUCUUUCUGCUCCAUCUUCUCUGGGGCAGUGCUGAGCUGCUGGCCGGGUGCAUCAUCCCAGAUUCCCUGACAUUCCCCCGACCUUUUGUCUGUGGCCGUGUAACAUCGUCAGGUAAGGUGAGGAGCCGAAGGCAAGAGGUGUUAAAUGGCAGAGGUGUUUGCCAAUAGCCAGGGAUAUUUUUAUAUCAAAAUCUGGAGCGGUCACUACUGUAGGUGGCUCUGCUCCCACGUACACAGUCCGCACGCCCUGAUACAGGAGCUAGAGCAAUUCCAGUGAUCCUUGGCACACACAUGUGCACACACACAUAAUGCACAUAGAUGCGUGCAGACACUCAGCAAUGAGCUAGGUCUCCUCCAGAAUGUUCUGUGCCUUAGUGCAUUUGAUUGUUUGUUUGUUUGUUUUGUCUUUUUGUCUUUUCUAGGGCUGCACCCUUGGCAUAUGGAGGUUC